rnacentral:lncRNA from 1 species
CAUGGUGAAUAGCAUAGAAAGAAGUGUUUGGGCAUGGAAAAUUAAAAUAUAACAAAACUGCAUAGGCCCUGGAUCCUUGAGACUGAGUUUAAGAGGAACAAGCUUUGGCCUUGGGACUUUCAAUUCAGGAAUAUAUAAUUAUUUAAAGCCAUCUGUGCAGAGGGAGUGGUUCAGGUGCUCUGAUGUGCUCGUGGCUGAGCUGCCAGACAGCAGACACUGAACCCCAGUGCUCUGGAUUUUAAUGCACGAGCUCUCCUGCCUGAGCUGGGAGCCAUCCUACCUAGUAGACCACUCACAUAUUUAUAGCCUGGCAAAUUGAUUCAUCCAGGAACCUGAAGUGUUGCCUGAGAGGAAGAAAGAUUGAACACUGAGGAAAGAGACCUAGAAUGGGGCAUGGUGCCUAAACUGCUCUGCUGAUAAGGUGGGCUUGGUAAACUAAAAAAGUG